rnacentral:tRNA from 1 species
UCCCUGGUGGCUCAGAUGGUAAAGCGUCUGUCUACAAUGCAGGAGACCUGGGUUCGAUCCCUAGGGCGGGAA